rnacentral:tRNA from 1 species
AAGUAAGAAGCAAUUACUUGCAUUUAGUUUCGACCUAAACCUUUGAUAUCUUAUCCUUACUUU